rnacentral:rRNA from 1 species
AGUGAACGCUGGCGGUAGGCCUAACACAUGCAAGUCGAACGGCAACACAGUAAGAGCUUGCUCUUACGGGUGGCGAGUGGCGGACGGGUGAGGAAUACAUCGGAAUCUACUUUUUCGUGGGGGAUAACGUAGGGAAACUUACGCUAAUACCGCAUACGACCUACGGGUGAAAGCAGGGGAUCUUCGGACCUUGCGCGAUUGAAUGAGCCGAUGUCGGAUUAGCUAGUUGGCGGGGUAAAGGCCCACCAAGGCGACGAUCCGUAGCUGGUCUGAGAGGAUGAUCAGCCACACUGGAACUGAGACACGGUCCAGACUCCUGCGGGAGGCAGCAGUGGGGAAUAUUGGACAAUGGGCGCAAGCCUGAUCCAGCCAUACCGCGUGGGUGAAGAAGGCCUUCGGGUUGUAAAGCCCUUUUGUUGGGAAAGAAAAGCAGCAGGUUAAUACCCCGCUGUUCUGACGGUACCCAAAGAAUAAGCACCGGCUAACUUCGUG